rnacentral:rRNA from 1 species
GAUGAACGCUGGCGGCGUGCUUAACACAUGCAAGUCGAACGGAAAGGCCCAAGCUUGCUUGGGUACUCGAGUGGCGAACGGGUGAGUAACACGUGGGUGAUCUGCCCUGCACUUCGGGAUAAGCCUGGGAAACUGGGUCUAAUACCGGAUAGGACGAUGGUUUGGAUGCCAUUGUGGAAAGUUCUUUCGGUGUGGGAUGAGCUCGCGGCCUAUCAGCUUGUUGGUAGGGUAAUGGCCUACCAAGGCGUCGACGGGUAGCCGGCCUGAGAGGGUGUACGGCCACAUUGGGACUGAGAUACGGCCCAGACUCCUACGGGAGGCAGCAGUGGGGAAUAUUGCACAAUGGGCGCAAGCCUGAUGCAGCGACGCCGCGUGGGGGAUGACGGCCUUCGGGUUGUAAACUCCUUUCGCUAGGGACGAAGCGUUUUUGUGACGGUACCUGGAGAAGAAGCACCGGCUAACUACGUG